rnacentral:rRNA from 1 species
UACGUAGGGGGGCAAGCGUUGUCCGGAUUUACUGGGCGUAAAGAGCGCGUAGGCGGAGCGUUUAAGUCCGAUCUGAAAGCCCCCCGGCUCAACCGGGGAGAGUGGUUGGAAACUGGCGCUCUUGAGGGCGAUAGAGGAGGGUGGAAUUCCUGGUGUAGCGGUGAAAUGCGUAGAGAUCAGGAGGAACACCAGUGGCGAAGGCGGCCUCUGGUCGACCCUGACGCUGAGGCGCGAAAGCGUGGGGAGCGAACGGG